GACGUAGGGCGCGAGCGUUGUCCGGAUUUAUUGGGCGUAAAGAGUCGUACGGUAGGCGGCUUGUCGCGUCGUCCGUGAAAACCCACAGCGUCAACCUGUGGGCAUUGCGGUCGGAUACGGGCAGGCUAGAGUUCGGUAGGGGAGACGUGGAAUUCCUGGUGUAGCGGUGGAAAUGACGCAGAUAUCAGGAGGAACACCGGUGGCGA
rnacentral:rRNA from 1 species